UUUUUAUAAAAAAUAAGAAUUUAUUUAUUUCGAAAUUAACUGAUCUAUUUUAUUUUAAAUUAAAAUUAUGUUUAAAAAUAAUUUAAAAAAUGAAAUAGAAGUGAAAUUCUUACCAAAGUUAAAGAUAUUUAAUUUUUUUUAAAAAAAAUAAAGUUUGCCUUAUAAUAUUAAAUAUUGAUUUUAAUUAUAAGGAAAUAUAUAAGGGAUAAGCUUUAUAUAUGAAUUAUAUAAUAUUUAUUUAAAAAAAUUAAAUAAGAAAUAAAAUUUUUUUUAUAUUGUUAUAAAUAAUUUAAUUUAAGUGUAAUUUUACAAUAAUUUUGUAUUUAAUUUUUAAAAUUUUAUUAAAAUUUAAAAAUGAAAAUAUUAGUAAAAUAAUUUUGCUUUAUUUUUAAGUAAAAUAUAAAAUUUUUAUUUUUAAAUUAAAUUUUAAGAACUUGGCAAAAAAUUUUUUUGACUGUUUAUUAAAAACAAUGUAUUUAGAAAAAAUUAAAUAUAAAUCCUGCUCAAUGAAUUUUAAAUUGCUGUAGUAUUUUGACUAUACAAAGGUAUUGAAAUAAGACUUUAAUUGAGUGCUAAGAGAAUGGAUUUUCAAAAAAAUGCUUUCUUAAUUUUAAGAAUUGAAGUUAUUUUUUUCUGUGAAGAAACAACAAUAAAAAUUAAAGACAAGAAGACCCUAAGAAUUUUUAUAAAUUUAUUAUAUAAAUAUAUAAUAUAUUUAUUUAAUUGGGGCGAUUUGAAAAUAUUUUAAACUUUUUAAAAACUAAAAAGAUCCAUUAAUAAUGAUUUUAUGAAAGAAAUACUCUAGGGAUAACAGCGUAAUAAUUUUAGAUAGAUCUUAUAGAAAAAAUAGUUUGCGACCUCGAUGUUGGAUUAGGAUUCUUAUUUAAUGAAGAAGUUAAAAAAAGAAGUUUGUUCAACUUUUAAAUUCCUACAUGAUCUGAGUUUAGACCGAUGUGAAUCAGGUUGGUUUCUAUCUUAAUUUUAAUUAAAAUUUAAUUAGUACGAAAGGAAUUUUAAAUUAAAAAUUUUUU
rnacentral:rRNA from 1 species